rnacentral:rRNA from 1 species
UACGGAGGGUGCAAGCGUUGUUCGGAAUCAUUGGGCGUAAAGAGCGUGUAGGCGGCUUGGUAAGUCAGAUGUGAAAUCCCUGGGCUCAACCCAGGAAGUGCAUUUGAUACUGCCUUGCUUGAGUACGGGAGGGGGAAGUGGAAUUCCUGGUGUAGAGGUGAAAUUCGUAGAUAUCAGGAGGAACACCGGUGGCGAAGGCGACUUCCUGGUCCGAUACUGACGCUGAGACGCGAGAGCGUGGGGAGCAAACAGG